rnacentral:misc_RNA from 1 species
AAAAAAUAUCAUGGAAAAGGGAUUCUCAUGGCACCUGCCAGAGAAUGAACACUCUAAUAGUUGCACAGUCAUAAUUCCUGGCGGUGUCCAUAGUUUGCCAAACACAGGAGUUCCUUCACCAUUGAUUCACCGAUGGAGAUCUGGUGGAUCAUGCGACUGUGGAGGUUGGGAUGUUGGUUGUGAACUCCGUAUCCUAUCCACUGAAAUCCAACACAAGAAGCUUCCAAGGACAUCCAAUGCUUGCCUGAGAUCAAAUCGAUUUGAACUUUUUGUUCAGGGAGAAGCACAAGAUACUCCCAUCUUCAGCAUGACACCAGUUGAGAAGGGGAAGUACUCAGUUGAGUUCAGUCCAUCAAUUUCUUUGUUACAGGCGUUCUUCAUUUGUGUCACAAUUAUAAGCUGCCAGAAAUCAUCUGAUCUCGCUGAACAGAGUAACGUGUCCAAAGAAAAAGUUCAUCAGGAAUCCAGAAAUGCAAAUGGACUGAAGAAGAUUCGCACCACUGUCCUGGGGGAAGCACCUGUGAAAUACACUCCAAGUCCACCUGUUUCACCUGUUGGAAGGAUCUAGCUUUAGGCCUGGAGGAGCUCUUAAACAGGGAUCCUGAUGUAGCAGAAGUCAUGUUUGGCUGUCAUAAUUUUGUAUCAAUUAUGUUACAUUACCAAAAUCCCUCCCUUGUAUAAUGAAAAUAAUGCAACCAAUUAUACCCCUCCCAAAGAGAG